rnacentral:rRNA from 1 species
AGUGGCGGACGGGUGAGUAACGCGUGAGAAUCUGCCUUGGGGUCGGGGACAACCACUGGAAACGGUGGCUAAUACCGGAUAAGCCGAUUGGUGAAAGAUUUAUUGCCCGAAGAGGAGCUCGCGUCUGAUUAGCUAGUUGGUGAGGUAAGAGCUCACCAAGGCAGCGAUCAGUAGCUGGUCUGAGAGGACGAUCAGCCACACUGGGACUGAGACACGGCCCAGACUCCUACGGGAGGCAGCAGUGGGGAAUUUUCCGCAAUGGGCGAAAGCCUGACGGAGCAAGACCGCGUGAGGGAGGAAGGCUCUUGGGUUGUAAACCUCUUUUCUCAGGGAAGAAGCUCUGACGGUACCUGAGGAAUCAGCCUCGGCUAACUCCGUGCCAGCAGCCGCGGUAAUACGGAGGAGGCAAGCGUUAUCCGGAAUUAUUGGGCAUAAAGCGUCCGCAGGUGGCGAUUCAAGUCUGCUGUCAAAGCACGGGGCUUAACUCCGUAAAGGCAGUGGAAACUGAAUAGCUAGAGUGCCGUAGGGGUAGAGGGAAUUCCCGGUGUAGCGGUGAAAUGCGUAGAGAUCGGGAAGAACAUCGGUGGCGAAAGCGCUCUACUGGACGGCAACUGACACUCAGGGACGAAAGCUAGGGGAGCGAAUGGGAUUAGAUACCCC